AUGGGUCGUGGUCAAAGGGCCAGUCUGGGGUCUACAGAACCAGUGGACAUAACCUGGAACACAGGCUCCCUGAAUAGAACUGUGGUGGUCUUCCCCUCCACCUUCCACAAGGCCUCCAGUCACUACAGUACCGUGAGUCUGGUGACCGUAUCGGGGGAGCUCGCCAAGGAGAAGGUCACUUGCAGUGUGGAGCACAAACCAUCCAAUUCCAGCAUCCACAAGAACGUCACAGUAUGUGCCACUUCACCCUCCGUGAAGCUCUUCCACACGGCCUGCCACCCUGGGGGUGACUCCCAGUCCACCAUCCAUCUGUUGUGCCUCAUCACCGGUUUCACCCCGGGGGACAUUAAGGUCAGUUGGCUGGUGAAUGGGGAGGAGGCCCAGGACCUCUACCCAAACACUGCCAAGCCCAAGAUGGAGGGCAAGCUGGCCUCCACCUACAGUGAGCUCAACAUCACCCAGGACCAAUGGUUGCAUGAGAAGACCUACACCUGCCGUGCCACCAUCCAUGGCACAUCCUAUCACGCCAGUGCCCGGAGAUGCAUAGAUUCAGAAGCCCGGGGAGUGAGCGUCUACCUCCUCCCACCCAGCCCCAUUGACCUGUACAUCAACAAUUCGACGAAGCUCAUCUGCUUGGUGAUUGACUUGGCCAGUAAAAAGGACUUGCGUGUGACCUGGUCCUGGGACAGGAAGAAGUCUUUGAAUAUUAGCCGACUAGUUUUCAAGGACCAACUAAAUGCAACAACCACUGCCAUGUCCACGCUGCCUGUGGACUCCAAGGACUGGAUCCAGGGCGAGACUUACCGCUGCACGGUGUCCCAUCCUGACCUGCCCAGGGAAAUAGAGCAGUCAAUUACCAAGGUCCAGGGCAAGCGUUUGCCCCCCGAGCUCUUCUUGUCCAAGACACUCAAUCAGGAAGAUGAAGGCAAGAUAACCCUGACCUGUCUAGCCCAGAACUUCUUCCCUGCCGACAUCACAGUGCAGUGGCUGAGAAACCAGGCACUCGUGCAGCCAGACCAGGGCCACUUCCACACCACGGGGCCCUACCCGACCAGCAGCUCUCGCCGUGCCUUCUUCACCUUCAGCCUCCUGGAGGUCAAGAAGUCUGCCUGGGAGAACAACAAGUUCACCUGCCGCGUGGUCCACGAGGCCCUGUUGAAUGGGAGGAUUCUUGAGAAAUCGAUAUCGAAAGAUUCCGAGGUGGACCUUCAAGACCUGUGUGUGGAAGAGGAUGAGAGCAAGGAGCUGGAGGAAUUGUGGACCGGCACCUGCAUCUUUAUCACUCUCUUUUUGCUCAGCGUGAGCUAUGGUGCCACCGUCACUCUCUUCAAGGUACAUUGGGUCUUCUCAGCUGUGGCCCAGAAGGAGCUCCAGGACUCCCAUGAUUACAGCAACAUCCUGUAG